rnacentral:tRNA from 1 species
GGGGAGGUGGCAGAGUAGAUGAUGCAUUGGAUUCUCAAGCUUGAGGUCCUGAGUUCAAUCCUUAGCAUCCCCU